GUAGGUGGCAAGCGUUGUCCGGAAUUAUUGGGCGUAAAGCGCGCGCAGGCGGUUCUUUAAGUCUGAUGUGAAAGCCCACGGGCUCAACCGUGGAGGGUCAUUGGAAACUGGAGAACUUGAGUACAGAAGAGGAAAGCGGAAUUCCACGUGUAGCGGUGAAAUGCGUAGAGAUGUGGAGGAACACCAGCGGCGAAGGCGGCUUUCUGGUCUGUAACUGACGCUGAGGCGCGAAAGCGUGGGGAGCAAACAGGAUUAGAUACCCUGGUAGUCCACGCCGUAAACGAUGAGUGCUAAGUAUUAGGGGGUUUCCGCCCCUUAGUGCUGCAGCUAACGCAUUAAGCACUCCGCCUGGGGAGUACGGCCGCAAGGCUG
rnacentral:rRNA from 1 species